UUUCCCUACGGGGCGCAGCAGUGGGGAAUAUUGGGCAAUGGGCGCAAGCCUGACCCAGCAACGCCGCGUGAAGGAAGAAGGCUUUCGGGUUGUAAACUUCUUUUCUCAGGGACGAAGAAAGUGACGGUACCUGAGGAAUAAGCCACGGCUAACUACGUGCCAGCAGCCGCGGUAAUACGUAGGUGGCAAGCGUUAUCCGGAAUUAUUGGGUGUAAAGGGUGCGUAGACGGGAAAAUAAGUUAGUUGUGAAAUCCUUCGGCUCAACUGAGGAACUGCAACUAAA
rnacentral:rRNA from 1 species